UACGUAGGGCGCAAGCGUUGUCCGGAAUUAUUGGGCGUAAAGAGCUCGUAGGCGGUUUGGUAAGUCGGGUGUGAAAUCUCCACGCUCAACGUGGAGGGGCCACUCGAUACUGCCAUGACUCGAGUCCGGUAGAGGAGUGUGGAAUUCCCGGUGUAGCGGUGAAAUGCGCAGAUAUCAAGGAGGAACACCGGUGGCGAAGGCGGAUCUCUGGGCCGAUACUGACGUGGAGGAGCGAAAGCGUGGGGAGCAACAG
rnacentral:rRNA from 1 species